UGGGGCGUCGUCUAAGGGUAGGACCCAGGCUUUUGGAGCCUGUUGUGGGGGUUCGAAUCCUCCCGCCCCAG
rnacentral:tRNA from 1 species